GCUUCAUUUAGGACGUGCUGUGCUCAUAGGCAGCAUUUUGUAAGCUGUUGCACUACAAUUCACACCCAAACUUGCUUGAAAGGUCGUUUUACAAGUUGGCAAAGACGAACCGAAAUAAAGAGACGAAACUCCUUCAAGACCUUUAUCUCAGCAAGGUACUGCCGUCCAUUUUUGGCGAGAGUUGAGGUGCAUUUGGCUGCGUUCAAUAUGAUAAAUAUUGUUUUGUUUUGUUUGAAUCUCUUGAUUUUUCAUAUUUACUGCUUUUCACUCCUUGCCAUGCAAGACUGACGUUAUGAUAAUAUGAGCAGAGAACAAUUCACUGAAUAUUGAGACUAAAAAGCCUCAGGCAAGCGAGUGUUAAAUUCGACUUGCCGAACCAUUUCAGUUUGUGAACUUUAGCAGAUUUUGAACUUUGAUGGUUUGUGAACUUUCAUGGUUUGACAUUUUUGACAUCUCUAGUCUUGUUCAACCAAUCAGAUUAAUUGAACCAUUUUGAUUGGUUAUUGUAGCCUGUUUAAUGAGAUUAUAGUGCAUGUUAACGACAUUGUUGUUCGCUUUGGAAAUAAAAUUUGUUUUGAAAAUUGAUAGUUGUGCGUGGGGAAUUUAACGGAUUCGUAAACAAAUGGGGAAGCCUUGCCUUUGCUCUGUUCCGUUAUAAAGCACUUUGGAAGCGGCUAGAUCACUCAAGAGGACACUUCUUUCGUGCUCUGGCGGCUUCCUGCGUGCUUUGAAACAGAACAGAGCACAGCCAAGGUUUCUCUAUUUCUUUAAUGUAGCCUUAUAUUUCGGAAGAAUGUGUCCAACCUAGUGUUUUUCUUGCUUCCUCAGAUGAAGUUCACUUUGAUUUUGUUCCUCGUUUGUGUUGGAGUCGUUAGCGCAGCACCUGCAGAGAAGAUAAGAUUGCGGCGUUCCUUGAACUCGCCUUGGUCUUACGCCCUGCUGAGUUCCUCCAAUGUGCAAGUAGACCCCAAGGCAUCUACAGAUAAUUCAUGCUGCAGAUCAAAUCUCCUGUGUUGUCCUGAAAAAUAAAUAAACGACGAUUUUACGUUUCAUUUACUUUACUGUUACUUUUUCAACCUCGCUGAGGCAUUUAUCUCUUGAAGUGUAACGUCACUCAAACAUUAAAUCCGAAAAAGAUUA